rnacentral:lncRNA from 1 species
GAAAAUAAAUUUUAUAUUAUAAAAAUCUUGAUGUAAUACCAAUACCAAUAUAUAAAAUUGUAAAAUUGGACUAUAAUUCAUGGUGAAAAAAUGAAAAUAAAGUUAUACAGGUAAUUAACAAUUUAAAACACGACGAAUUUUAAUUUUAUUUGUGUUUUUUUUGAAAAAUAAUUAUGUUCUUACAUUGUCACCUUCCGCCAAUUUUUUUGGAUUGAUUGUGCACACAAACAUCUAACUUAAAUCCGUGAGUUUGUAGUAUUGAGAAAGAGGAGGUUGUGUUUAGAUGAUCCAAAACCUUACGAUCUACGGGGGUAUUUAUAGGUGCAGAGAGACUUGUGUGCUACUCUUUCCUAUAAUUAAAUAAUCUGAAACAAAAUUAGAUUAAAACUUUCAAAUUACUAUAUUCCGUAAAUAAUCCAAAACAAAAUCAGAUUCUGAUACUUGCUUCUAAUAUACCCAAAACUAAUAAAGGUAGUUCUAAUUUUUGAUAUUUUUCAUCCAAAAAUUCCAUAUAAUUUAAAAAAUAGAACGGACCGAUGUGGGAGGCGCCAUCUACAGCCCCUCGCUUCUCCACCAUAUUUUCCU